GAGCACGCCGCGUGAGGGAUGAAGGCCUCUGGGCUGUAAACCUCUUUUCUCAAGGAAGAAGAUCUGACGGUACUUGAGGAAUAAGCCACGGCUAAUUCCGUGCCAGCAGCCGCGGUAAUACGGGAGUGGCAAGCGUUAUCCGGAAUUAUUGGGCGUAAAGCGUCCGCAGGCGGCCUCGAAAGUCUGUCGUUAAAGCGUGGAGCUUAACUCCAUUUAAGCGGUGGAAACUACGAGGCUAGAGUGUGGUAGGGGCAGAGGGAAUUCCCGGUGUAGCGGUGAAAUGCGUAGAUAUCGGGAAGAACACCAGUGGCGAAGGCGCUCUGCUGGGCCAUAACUGACGCUCAUGGACGAAAGCCAGGGGAGCGAAAGGGAUUAGAUACCCCUGUAGUCCUGGCCGUAAACGAUGAACACUAGGUGUCGGGGGAAUCGACCCCCUCGGUGUCGUAGCUAACGCGUUAAGUGUUCCGCCUGGGGAGUACGCACGCAAGUGUGAAACUCAAAGGAAUUGACGGGGGCCCGCACAAGCGGUGGAGUAUGUGGUUUAAUUCGAUGCAACGCGAAGAACCUUACCAGGGCUUGACAUCCUGCGAAUCCCUUGGAAACUUGGGAGUGCCUUCGGGAGCGCAGAGACAGGUGGUGCAUGGCUGUCGUCAGCUCGUGUCGUGAGAUGUUGGGUUAAGUCCCGCAACGAGCGCAACCCACGUCUUUAGUUGCCAGCAUUAAGUUGGGCACUCUAGAGAGACCGCCGGUGAUAAACCGGAGGAAGGUGUGGAUGACGUCAAGUCAUCAUGCCCCUUACGUCCUGGGCUACACACGUACUACAAUGCUACGGACAAAGGGCAGCAAACUCGCGAGAGCUAGCAAAUCCCAUAAACCGUGGCUCAGUUCAGGUCGUAGGCUGCAACUCGCCUACGUGAAGGAGGAAUCGCUAGUAAUCGCAGGUCAGCAUACUGCGGUGAAUACGUUCCCGGGCCUUGUACACACCGCCCGUCACACCAUGGAAGUUGGCCACGCCCGAAGUCGUUACUCCAACCCGCAAGGGAGGAGGAUGCCGAAGGUGGGGCUGAUGACUGGGGUGAAGUCGUAACAAGGUAGCCGUACCGGAAGGUG
rnacentral:rRNA from 1 species